UUUGAUUUGUCGAGCUCAUCAGGUGGUGGAAGAUGGAUAUGAAUUUUUUGCUAAGCGAAGACUUGUGACUCUAUUUUCCGCUCCCAAUUAUGGUGGAGAAUUUGAUAAUGCAGGUGCCUUGUUAAGCGUUGAUGAGCAACUUGUGUGUUCCUUCGAAAUAUUGAAACCGGUAUUAUCUAGCAGUUCAAAGUUGCCCCUUAAAAAGCCACCCAAGGCUGGAGGGAUGUGAUAAAGUAGAAAGUGUACAUGGAGAUUUAUCCAGUAUAUAGCGAAGAAUGACAAGCACUCCUCUUUAUAUUUUGUUAUUGAUACAAGCCGUCCUUUCCAAAUACCUUUCCGUCUUUGAAACCAUGGAUUGGCCAGGGGUAUUAUUACACUAAAGGAAAA
rnacentral:misc_RNA from 1 species